CCAAUCGAACCCGGAGAUAGCUGGUUCUCCUCGAAAUAGCUUUAGGGCUAGCCUCAUGGAUCAUUGGUGGGGGUAGAGCACUGAAUGUGCGCGGGGGCCACAAAGCCUACCAAACGCUAUCAAACUUCGAAUACCAUACAAUGCAGACCAUGGGAGUCAGUCCGCGAGAGAUAAGUUCCGCGGGCAAAAGGGGAACACCCCAGAUCAACCGCUAAGGUCCCCAAGUUCACGUUAAGUGGAGAAGGAUGUGGAAUUGCACAGACAACCAGGAUGUUGGCUCAGAAGCAGCCACACAUUUAAAGAGUGCGUAAUAGCUCACUGGUCGAGUGAUUGUGCGCCGAAGAUGUCCGGGGCUAAACGUGACACCGAAGCGAUGGGUGCAUCUGAAGAAGAUGCGCGGUAGAGGAGCAAUGUGCAGAGGCAGAAGCCGUAUCGAGAGGCACGGUGGACACUGCACAAGAGAGAAUGCCGGUAUGAGUAGCGAGAGGCAUGCGAGAAACAUGCCCGUCGAAAGCCCAAGGUUUCCUGGGGAAGGUUCAUCCGCCCAGGGUAAGUCGGGGCCUAAGCCGAGGACGGAAGUCGUAGGCGAUGGACAGCAGGUGUAGAUUCCUGCACUACCGAUGGAAUGAAGCAGUGACACAGAAGGAUAACUCGAGCAGGGUGAUGGUCAACCCUGUGCAAGCAUCAAGGUUGGGUUGUAGUGAAGUACGCAAUCCUAUAAGCUGAGGUGUGAUGCGGACCGAAAUUUCAGUAGGGAAGCGAGUGAGUUCACGCUGGCGAGAAAAGCUGCUAGUACAUCCAAAGGUACCCGUACCGGAAACCGACGCAGGUGGGCGAGGAGAGAAUCCUGAGACGAACGGGAGAACCCUUGUUAAGGAACUCGGCAAAAUGACCCCGUAACUUCGGGAUAAGGGGUGCCUGCGAGAGCAGGCCGCAGAGAAUAGUCACAAGCGACUGUUUAGCAAAAACACAGGUAUCUGCGAAAGCGAGAGCUGACGUAUAGGUGCUGACACCUGCCCGGUGCUGGAAGGUUAAGGGAACAUGUUAGAGCAAUCGAAGCAUCGAACCGAAGCCCCAGUAAACGGCGGCCGUAACUAUAACGGUCCUAAGGUAGCGAAAUUCCUUGUCGGGUAAGUUCCGACCCGCACGAAUGGUGUAACGACUUGUGAGCUGUCUCAACAGGGGGCCCGGUGAAAUUGAAGUAUGGGUGAAGAUGCCCAUUACCCGCGACUGGACGGAGAGACCCCGUAGAGCUUUACUGCAGCCUGAUAUUGAGUUUCGGUAACUGAUGCACAGGAUAGGUGGGAGUCUGAGAGACAUGGGUUUCGGCUCGUGUGGAGACGGUGUUGGGAUACCACUCUUCGGUUACUGAAAUUCUAACAUAGCUCUGUGAAACCAGAGGAUGGACAGUGUCAGGUGGACAGUUUGACUGGGGCGGUCGCCUCCGAAAGAGUAACGGAGGCGCCCAAAGGUACCCUCAGAAUGGAUGGAAACCAUUCGAAGAGCGCAAAGGCAGAAGGGUGCCUGACUGCGAGAGUGACAACUCGAGCAGAGACGAAAGUCGGGCUUAGUGAUCCGGCGGUAUUGAGUGGAAAAGCCGUCGCUUAACGGAUAAAAGCUACCUCGGGGAUAACAGGCUGAUCUCCCCCAAGAGUCCACAUCGACGGGGAGGUUUGGCAC
rnacentral:rRNA from 1 species